rnacentral:lncRNA from 1 species
AUGAUUCAUCAUGAAGUUGAAUGCUAUGCUAUGACAUGAUAGCAAAGUCCCAAGCAGGAGAGGGGCAUCUGGUAGAUCUGGCCAAGCUGAGUGGACCAGUUGAGAUAAUUCAAACUGAGGUUGAAUUCAGAUAAGUGCACUAUCAGAGUGCGGGCCGGUAAGCUGCUGGGGUUCAUUGUAAGAGAGGAAUCGAGGUUGAU